rnacentral:rRNA from 1 species
UACGUAGGCAGCAAGCGUUGUUCGGAAUUACUGGGCGUAAAGAGUGUGUAGGCGGUGCUCCAAGUCUGGUGUGAAAUCUCCCGGCUCAACCGGGAGGGUGCGCCGAAAACUGGGAGACUAGAGUGCGGGAUGGGAGAGUAGAAUUCCUGGUGUAGCGGUGAAAUGCGUAGAUAUCAGGAGGAAUACCGGUGGUGUAGACGGCUCUCUGGACCGCCACUGACGCUGAGACACGAAAGCGUGGGUAGCAAACAGG